AUGAACGUUGGCGGUGUGCCUAAUACAUGCAAGUCGAACGGAGAUAAUAGCAAUAUUGUCUUAGUGGCGAACGGGUGAGUAACGCGUUGGUGAUCUGCCCCGAAGUGGGGAAUAACAAUUCGAAAGAAUUGCUAAUACCCCAUGUGAUCUUAGAGAUUUGAUGCUCUUUGAUUAAAGGAUUUAUUCGCUUCGGGAGGAGCCUGCGUCCCAUCAGCUAGUUGGUAAGGUAAUGGCUUACCAAGGCGAUGACGGGUAGGGGACCUGAGAGGGUGGCCCCCCACAAUGGAACUGAAACACGGUCCAUACACCUACGGGUGGCAGCAGUAGGGAAUAUUAGUAAUGGGCGAAAGCCUGAACUAGCAACACCGCGUGUGCGAUGAAGGCCUUCGGGUUGUAAAGCACUUUUAGAGAGGACGAGGAAGGACGGUACUCUCUGAAUAAGUCUCGGCUAACUACGU
rnacentral:rRNA from 1 species